rnacentral:rRNA from 1 species
AUGUGAGGCUAUGCUACCCUGAAGAAGCCCGAUCUCAUCUGAUCUCGGAGGCUAAGCUGGGUCGGGCCUGGUUAGUACUUGGAUGGGAGACCAUCUAGGAAGAUCAGGUGCCGUAGGCA